ACUCAAAUGAAUAGACGGGGGCCCGCACAAGCGGUGGAGCAUGUGGUUUAAUUCGAUGCAACGCGAAGAACCUUACCAGGUCUUGACAUCCAUGGGAUCUAUAUGAAAGUAUGGAGUGCCUUCGGGAGCUAUGAGACAGGUGGUGCAUGGUUGUCGUCAGCUCGUGUCGUGAGAUGUUGGGUUAAGUCCCGCAACGAGCGCAACCCUUGCUAUUAGUUGCUAACAGGUAAAGCUGAGCCCUCUAAUGGAACUGCCCGUGACAAGCGGGAGGAAGGUGGGGACGACGUCAAAUCAUCAUGCCCUUUAUGAUCUGGGCUACACACGUGCUACAAUGGAUGGUACAGAGAGCUGCAAUGUCGUGAGGCGGAGCGAAUCUCAAAAAGCCAUUCACAGUUCGGAUUGCAGUCUGCAACUCGACUGCAUGAAGUCGGAAUCGCUAGUAAUCGCGAAUCAGCAUGUCGCGGUGAAUGCGUUCCCGGGCCUUGUACACACCGCCCGU
rnacentral:rRNA from 1 species